UCAAACGACAUGUGGGGAGGUCUGAGGCGCCGCUUGUUCUAGAGCUGACAAUCGAAAGGUUGGAAGGGAUUAACAGAGAACUCCUCUACACUCUCUAUACCGAAGAAGCCUAUGGUGGAGGUGAGAGUGUAGUGAUGAGAAAUUCUGAGGCGUGGAAAUUCAGUUCAAUGAAUGAAGCCACAUUUGUGGUCAACUCGAUUCAGACUAUUCUUC
rnacentral:RNase_P_RNA from 1 species